AUACGUAGGGGGCGAGCGUUGUCCGGAAUGAUUGGGCGUAAAGUGCGCGUAGGCGGCCCGGUAAGUCUGGAGUGAAAGUCCUGUUUUUAAGAUGGGAAUUGCUUUGGAUACUGUCGGGCUUGAGUGCAGGAGAGGUAAGUGGAAUUCCCAGUGUAGCGGUGAAAUGCGUAGAGAUUGGGAGGAACACCAGUGGCGAAGGCGACUUACUGGACUGUAACUGACGCUGAGGCGCGAAAGUGUGGGGAGCAAACAGGAUUAGAUACCCUGGUAGUCCACACUGUAAACGAUGAAUGCUAGGUGUAGGGGGUAUCGACCCCUUCUGUGCCGCAGUCAACACAAUAAGCAUUCCGCCUGGGGAGUACGGCCGCAAGGUUGAAACUCAAAUGAAUUGACGGGG
rnacentral:rRNA from 1 species